rnacentral:rRNA from 1 species
AGAGUUUGAUCCUGGCUCAGGACGAACGCUGGCGGCGUGCUUAAUACAUGCAAGUCGAGCGAGGUUACUGCGACAGAUCCCUUCGGGGUGAAGUUGCUUUAGCCUAGCGGCGGACGGGUGAGUAACGCGUGGGUAACCUACCCCAAAGUCCGGGAUAACAGCGGGAAACCGCUGCUAAUACCGGAUGCCUUUACCUUGGGGCAUCUUGAGGUAAAGAAAGGCAACGCUUUGGGAUGGGCCCGCGUCCCAUUAGCUAGUUGGUGAGGUAACGGCUCACCAAGGCGACGAUGGGUAGCCGGCCUGAGAGGGUGGACGGCCACACUGGGACUGAGACACGGCCCAGACUCCUACGGGAGGCAGCAGUAGGGAAUAUUGCGCAAUGGACGGAAGUCUGACGCAGCGACGCCGCGUGAGCGAUGAAGGUCUUCGGAUCGUAAAGCUCUGUCCUUGGGGAAGAAGGCGAAAGCUUGACGGUACCCAAGAAGAAAGCCCCGGCUAACUACGUGCCAGCAGCCGCGGUAAU